CCUUUGGACUGACAGAGUCAGAAAUUUGCUGGGGAUGAAGGUGGAGGCAGUGGCUCUCCUUUAGGAUGUGUGCAUGGCUGUGUGCAGGGUCCUGGGCGAUGCAGGGCAGGGCAGGUUGCAGCGCCCUGCGCCCCACGGGCAUCCCUGUGUCCCCAUGUCACCAUGCACUGGGCAGAGCUGGAGCAGGUCAGCUGGAGGAACACUCACAGCGGGAUCCCUCCCCCCUGACAGGUCCAAGAAGAGUCACCACCCUUUAAGUGCCACGAAGAGGCCUUCCACUCUCCGGUGCAAGAAUUCAAACAGAAUCAUGCACUGAACCUGGAGCGAAGUCAAGCACGGAGCCUCCUCCCAGCUCAUCCAGCAACACGUUCACAAAAGGCCCUGUUAUUAUCCCCACGUCCACACACUCUAACCCUGUAAUUAGAUGCUUAGGCUAUGAUUGCCCCAUUGUCCGCUGGAUGGGUUUAAUCAUUCUUUCCUCCUACAGUGGCAAUUUUGUCCCAAUUAAUUAUUUCAGUUUGAACAGCAAUAGCUGGUUGAGUUUAGAGAGAAAUUAAAAGGGUAGAGCACAAUAAUGAAGAGCGAGCUAACCAGUGAAAAGCUGCAGACAAGGCUGCUGCUCCAUGCUCUCCACCGAGGGCUGGAGCACCUCCUUGCCUGCACAUGGCAGCAGGGCUGUGUGUUCAUCCUCAGGUCCAGCAGAAGGUGCUGCUGCAGCCGUGGUGGCCGUGACAGCAGUGGUGGCUCCAAGGUGAGUGGCAGUGCAGGCAGAGCAAAGAGAUGAGGGCAAUGCCACAAAUUAGGGUCAGCCUAUGGCUAUCAAUGGCAGCUCUCUGAGAAGACAGUUCUGCCGAGGCUGUGCUCCCUGCCCUCCUAUCCUGUGCCCAAACCCCCAUUUAUUCACUUUAUCUCCCCAUUUAUUCACUCUUGGCCACACAGUGGCAGAGCCCUGCAGCUCCCCAGCACUGCAGCAUGUGUUUUGGUGGUUCUCAGAGGGAUAGGUGCUGUUCUCUGGGUGAUUCGGGAUGCAAUUGAAUUGGGUUAAAAAAAAUAAAAUACAAAUGUUAAGGUUAUACAAGGUUUUGAGGGGAGAGGGGGAAAAUAUUCAUGCCUUUCAGUAGUUACAAAAAUGCUGCCUGUGCAAUUCAUGUAUAAUUCAGUGAAUUCCAGAGUAGUUUGAAUAUUUAAAUU